CGGGCCGGCUCAACCCGC
rnacentral:snRNA from 1 species